ACGGGCUCUUCGGAGCUAGUGGCGGACGGGUGAGUAACGCGUGAGAAUCUGGCUCCAGGUUCGGGACAACAGUUGGAAACGGCUGCUAAUACCGGAUGUGCCCUUGGGUGAAAGAUUUAUCACCUGAAGAUGAGCUCGCGUCUGAUUAGCUAGUAGGUGUGGUAAGAGCGCACCUAGGCGACGAUCAGUAGCUGGUCUGAGAGGAUGACCAGCCACACUGGGACUGAGACACGGCCCAGACUCCUACGGGAGGCAGCAGUGGGGAAUUUUCCGCAAUGGGCGAAAGCCUGACGGAGCAAUACCGCGUGAGGGAGGAAGGCUCUUGGGUUGUAAACCUCUUUUCUCAGGGAAGAAGUUCUGACGGUACCUGAGGAAUCAGCAUCGGCUAACUCCGUGCCAGCAGCCGCGGUAAUACGGAGGAUGCAAGCGUUAUCCGGAAUGAUUGGGCGUAAAGCGUCCGCAGGUGGCAAUGUAAGUCUGCUGUCAAAGCGUCUGGCUCAACCAGAUAAAGGCAGUGGAAACUACAUAGCUAGAGUAAGGUAGGGGUAGAGGGAAUUCCUGGUGUAGCGGUGAAAUGCGUAGAGAUCAGGAAGAACACCGGUGGCGAAAGCGCUCUGCUGGACCUUAACUGACACUGAGGGACGAAAGCUAGGGGAGCGAAUGGGAUUAGAUACCCCAGUAGUCCUAGCCGUAAACGAUGGAUACUAG
rnacentral:rRNA from 1 species